rnacentral:rRNA from 1 species
UACGGAGGGUGCGAGCGUUAAUCGGAAUAACUGGGCGUAAAGGGCACGCAGGUGGUCUUUUAAGUGAGGUGUGAAAUCCCCGGGCUUAACCUGGGAAGAGCAUUUCAGACUGGGAGGCUAGAGUACUGUAGGGAGGGGUAGAAUUCCACGUGUAGCGGUGAAAUGCGUAGAGAUGUGGAGGAAUACCGAAGGCGAAGGCAGCCCCUUGGGAAUGUACUGACGCUCAUGUGCGAAAGCGUGGGGAGCGAACAGG